rnacentral:misc_RNA from 1 species
GAUGAAGAACGUAGCGAAAUGCGAAAAGUAAUGUGAAUUGCAGAAUUCAGUGAACCAUCGAAUCUUUGAACGCACAUUGCGCCCGCUGGAACUCCGGCGGGCACGCCUGUCCGAGCGUCAUUUCAACCCUCAGGCCCCCCUUCGCGGGCGGGCCUGGUGUUGGGGCCCGGCCGCUACCCUGCGGCCGUCCCCUAAAUCCAGUGGCGGCCUCGCCGUGAUCCCUUGCGUGGUAAUGCACCUCGCACCGGAGAGCGCCGUGGCCACGCCGUAAAACCCCCAAUUUUCAAUGGUUGACCUCGGAUCAGGUGGGAAUACCCGCUGAACUUAAGCAUAUCAAUAAGCGGAGGA